GGGGAAUAUUGGGCAAUGGACGCAAGUCUGACCCAGCAACGCCGCGUGAAGGAAGAAGGCUUUCGGGUUGUAAACUUCUUUGAUGAGGGACGAAAAAAAUGACGGUACCUCAAAAACAAGCCACGGCUAACUACGUGCCAGCAGCCGCGGUAAUACGUAGGUGGCAAGCGUUGUCCGGAUUUACUGGGUGUAAAGGGCGUGUAGGCGGGUUAUCAAGUCAGGUGUGAAAUACCACGGCUCAACCGUGGGGCUGCACCUGAAACUGGUGAUCUUGAGUGCUGGAGAGGAAAGCGGAAUUCCUAGUGUAGCGGUGAAAUGCGUAGAUAUUAGGAGGAACACCAGUGGCGAAGGCGGCUUUCUGGACAGUAACUGACGCUGAGGCGCGAAAGCGUGGGGAGCAAACA
rnacentral:rRNA from 1 species